rnacentral:lncRNA from 1 species
AGUACCACCAGUAUUAAAAUUUUAAUUUUGUUUCAGUGAUAGAAGUUUGAAGAUAUGUUAAAUUGGUUUUGUUGUUGUUUGUGUUGUUUAAAUAUCUUAAAUAUUUUUAAAAGUCUAAACAUUUUUUUUUCUAAAUGAUACAUUAGAGAGCGGCAGUCAUCUAGAUUAUCUGAUUAAUAGUUAUUUUCUAUGGAUAUAUUUACUACUUUGGUAAAAUACUUUAGCUUUUGAAAUUUUGAUGUAAUUAAAGGAUGAUGUGAUGAAUGACAAUUUCAAGAUGUGGAAACGCUUCUGGUAAUACAUGUACAGUCUAGUCGAGCCUUACUGUGCUCCUUCCUUAGGCAGUGGUUCAUUUUCUUAUUUGCAGAAAGCUUCCACAAGAUAAUGAGACCAACAUCUUACAUUUAGUAUUAUAAUGUGUUCUGUUGUCUACCAAUUCCUGAUUAGAUUUGUACAUUUACUUUAGAACUUCCUUGAAAUUCUUCAUGUUAUGUUGUA